GUUGCAUCUAUUGCACCUGCUUUCAACAUGAGCUAUUUAGUUGCUUAAGUCUAGUUUUCGUUAACUAGCGUCUUUGGGACUUGUUCCUAUCCGGGUUUCAAAAGACGGUCAUUGAUAGGAUAUAGUUGGGAGGGUUCGCCAGUUCCUGACCAAUUGAAACUAUGAAUUCUGGUCGAGCAUUCUUUUUUGCUAGCUUUUAAGGAAUGUUUAGUAAACAAAGAUAGCUAAACUUGUAGUAAGGUGCUGCGCUUAGCUUACUGGACGUGGGUUCGAUUCCCACCGUCUCCACCA
rnacentral:tmRNA from 1 species